AUCUCGAAAGCCGGUCUCAGUUCGGAUUGGAGUCUGCAACUCGACUCUAUGAAGCUGGAAUCGCUAGUAAUCGCGCAUCAGCCAUGGCGCGGUGAAUACGUUCCCGGGCCUUGUACACACCGCCCGUCAAGCCAUGGAAGUCUGGGGUACCUGAAGUCGGUGACCGUAACAGGAGCUGCCUAGGGUAAAACAGGUAACUAGGGCUAAGUCGUAACAAGGUAGCCGUACCGGAAGGUGCGGCUGGAACAUCUCAUUUUAGA
rnacentral:rRNA from 1 species